UACGAAGGGGGCUAGCGUUGCUCGGAAUUACUGGGCGUAAAGCGCACGUAGGCGGCUUUCUAAGUCGGGGGUGAAAUCCUGGAGCUCAACUCCAGAACUGCCUUCGAUACUGGAGAGCUCGAGUCCGGGAGAGGUGAGUGGAACUGCGAGUGUAGAGGUGAAAUUCGUAGAUAUUCGCAAGAACACCAGUGGCGAAGGCGGCUCACUGGCCCGUAACUGACGCUGAGGCACGAAAGCGUGGGGAGCAAACAGG
rnacentral:rRNA from 1 species